ACGGGAGGCAGCAGUGGGGAAUAUUGGGCAAUGGGCGAAAGCCUGACCCAGCAACGCCGCGUGAAGGAAGAAGGUCUUCGGAUUGUAAACUUCUUUUAUGAGGGACGAAGGAAGUGACGGUACCUCAUGAAUAAGCCCCGGCUAACUACGUGCCAGCAGCCGCGGUAAUACGUAGGGGGCGAGCGUUAUCCGGAUUUACUGGGUGUAAAGGGCGCGUAGGCGGGUCGGCAAGUCAGGUGUGAAAUCUAUGGGCUCAACCCAUAAACUGCAUUUGAAACUGUCGAUCUUGAGUACUGGAGAGGUAGACGGAAUUCCUUGUGUAGCGGUGAAAUGCGUAGAUAUAAGGAAGAACACCAGUGGCGAAGGCGGUCUACUGGACAGUAACUGACGCUGAGGCGCGAAAGCGUGGGGAGCAAACAGGAUUAGAUACCCUGGUA
rnacentral:rRNA from 1 species